GGCGGGAGGGUGGGUAAAUUUGACGUGUUGAAUUGACCAGUACACCAUUCGAAAUGACCAGGGAAUAUUUGUAUGAAAAUUUACCUGAAGUGAACAGGUAUUUCUAUUAACCAAUCAAAUGACGAACGAUAAAUUUUGACAAACAAGUAACGAGUAAUGUCGAAAGCGGCGUUUUGCAUUUGCGCCGAUCUGCAUUUCAUUUGCGCCGAUUUUUUCUUUCAUUUGCGUCGAUUUUUGUUUUCAUUUGCGCCGAUUUUUUACAGGUAAUUUACAGGUUAAUUACAGGUAAAUAGAUAUAAGAAGAUGUGGUAUGAGUGCAAAUGAGACAACUCUCCAUCCAAGUCAUGUUAUUUUUCAUUUAUCAUUAUAGACCUCUUCCGUCAUCCAGUUGUACACUAUAUUCACAUACUUUAAAAUCAAGAAGUAAAAACCUUAGAUAAAAGCCCUCUGGUUAAUACUAAAAUGACGAAUUGAAAAUUUAUUUACAGCAUUCAAAUCCAUAAAAACGGAAUACAUUAAAAUCAUAAAUCUGUUCUUGCUGAGUAUUUAUAGGCAACACAUCUACUAUUUUCCUUUUUUUGUGAUUUCGUCUCUUCUAUAUUUGUUCUAAUUGUCAAUAACGAAGUCCAUCUUUUCUUUGUCUGGUUUACGUACUUAUGUGUAUGGCCGUCGAUGGUUAAAGAAUUGACUCCUCGGCUCGUUGCAGUGUGCAAUAUGUCCAUCAAUUUACAGCAAAGUUCAGAACAAUAUGAAUCAAAAUUAACUAAAACCUAUGUUUAUAACCAGAUUUUACUAAUAUACCUUCACGGUAUAGUACAUGUACAAGUAUUCUCUUUCCUGUGAAUCCAAUUAGGAGCAAAUAUAAAAUCGGCGCAAAU
rnacentral:lncRNA from 1 species